rnacentral:rRNA from 1 species
AACGAACGCUGGCGGCAUGCCUAACACAUGCAAGUCGAACGAGACCUUCGGGUCUAGUGGCGCACGGGUGCGUAACGCGUGGGAAUCUGCCCUUGGGUUCGGGAUAACAGUUGGAAACGACUGCUAAUACCGGAUGAUGUCUUCGGACCAGAGAUUUAUCGCCCAGGGAUGAGCCCGCGUCGGAUUAGCUAGUUGGUGAGGUAAAGGCUCACCAAGGCGACGAUCCGUAGCUGGUCUGAGAGGAUGAUCAGCCACACUGGGACUGAGACACGGCCCAGACUCCUACGGGAGGCAGCAGUGGGGAAUAUUGGACAAUGGGCGAAAGCCUGAUCCAGCAAUGCCGCGUGAGUGAUGAAGGCCUUAGGGUUGUAAAGCUCUUUUACCCGGGAUGAUAAUGACUGUAGCCGGAGAAGAAGCCCCGGCUAACUUCGUGCCAGCCGCCGCAGUAACAC